rnacentral:ncRNA from 1 species
CGCGAUGCGGGAGAGCCCAACCGGUCCUCUUGCAGGAACGGUAUGGCGCCGACGGAGCAACCGCCCCCGGAAACUCUCAGGCACAAUCACCGCAU